CCGUAACCCUUUAGGACGGGACGACCGGUCGAAGGUGGACUGUGAUUGGGGUG
rnacentral:rRNA from 1 species